GGGGAUAUAGCUCAGUGGUAGAGGGCAUGCUUUGCCUGUAAGAGGUCCUGGGUUCAAUACCCAGUAUCUCCA
rnacentral:tRNA from 1 species